GCCGGUGUUCCGACAGUGACCAAGGAGCAUGGACUUGAAGAUGACUGCAAUGGGCUCCCCAACCGAUGGGGCUGGCAUCAGUAGUGAUUCGUGAGAAGGAGGCGUGCAAAUGACUCUUGGUGGAGGAAUGUCUAUUAAUUCAAUGGCGUAACCUUGAGCAAUGAUGGUAAGUACCCAGGGUUCCAAGAAUAUCAUCUGUCUUGGAAUCAAAAAGACCUGUACCAUCGAAAGGCAAACCUUCUAUCAUCAUUGAUACUGGCUGACCAUAUGUGACGUCUGAUGACCACUCCUGUCAAUAAAGUCUUAGAAGCUGCUUCAAUAAUGUGUCUGGUUGUGACCCUUUCUUGUCUCACGAGCGCCACGGCUUCUUGGUGAAGAGAGAGUCCCCGGGGUUUAAGUUCUGCUGGAGCUGCUUGCAGGGAUGGAAGGGUGUGAUUCUAUAAAUGUUUAUGGUACACACCCAUGGCAGCGAUGUAGUUAGCCGCCUGCAGGGUAAAUUAUGCCAGGGAAUAUGCUCUACGUCUGAGGAUGUCGUGCUUUUUACCUUCUUUGCUGUUGGGCGUAGUGUUUGAUCUUGAACGAGAUCAAGCAUGUGUCACAUCCACAACGACUUAGG